UCUUCCAUAGUAUAGUGGUCAGUAUGCAAGCUUAUCAAGCUUGGAAGCCGGGUUUAAUUCCUGGCGGGGGAG